rnacentral:lncRNA from 1 species
UUAAUUUUUUUAUAGAGAUAAUAAGAUAAAAAAUAAUAAGAAUAUAAAAUGUUGACGUGACUUAACUAUGACCGCACAAAUAGAAAAUGAUGAGAAUGACACUCAAAUAGGAUGACAGACAAUCUGCCUCCUUCUUUUAAAGCUAUCAACUAAGAAAUUACUUGUGUUUUUACUAGUUUCGUGCCUCAAAUACAAAACUAAAGAGCAAGUAUCAACUAUUCAACUAUUCAAGCAUGUAUUUGACUGGGGUUUUCUUUCUUAAUUAAUGUUUCCGUCUUUUAUGCAAAUUUUACAUGUAAUAUGGUUCACAAUAGACUAGUAAUAACAUGGUUUAAAUUCGUUAUCAAUAUGUCUAUAUAGUGUUACUAACAUGGAUUUGAUAUUCGAUUGUUAUAAGGAAAACUAAUGAAAAACGGUUUGAAAACUUUGAGUUUUAACGAUAAGGACAAAAUAAAGGGUAAAGUGAAUAGAACCAUGAUUGAUUUUUGGGAACUUUAAUGAAAAGCUCCCGGUACUGUUCAUUUUAACGAAAAACCAUAUUUUUACACUAAAAAGUCAAUCCUGGUACUAUUCACUUUACCUUUUAUUUUGUCCUUAUCGUUAAAACUCAAAGUUUUAAGGUCAUUUUCAUUAGUUUUCCUUUGAUUUUUUAGUGUAAAC